UACGUAGGUGGCAAGCGUUGUCCGGAAUUAUUGGGCGUAAAGCGCGCGUAGGCGGCUUUGCAAGUCGGAUGUGAAAUCCCCAGGCUCAACUUGGGAACUGCAUCCGAUACUGGAUGGCUUGAAUACGGGAGAGGGAUGCAGAAUUCCAGGUGUAGCGGUGAAAUGCGUAGAUAUCUGGAGGAAUACCGGUGGCGAAGGCGGCAUCCUGGACCGACAUUGACGCUGAGGAGCGAAAGCUAGGGGAGCAAACGGG
rnacentral:rRNA from 1 species